AUUGAACGCUGGCGGCAGGCCUAACACAUGCAAGUCGAGCGGAGCGGCGGACGGGCGAGUAAUGCAUGGGAAUAUGCCUGGUAGAGGGGGAUAACGUCCGUAAACGGGCCCUAAUACCGCAUCCUAUCAGCUGAGCCUAGGUCGUGUUAGCUAGUUGGUGAGGUAAAGGCCUACCAAGGCGACGAUCCGUAGCUGGCCUGAGAGGAUGAUCAGUCACACUGGAACUGAGACACGGUCCAGACUCCUACGGGAGGCAGCAGUGGGGAAUAUUGGACAAUGGGCGAAAGCCUGACCCAGCCAUGCCGCGUGUGUGAAGAAGGUCUUCGGAUUGUAAAGCUCUGUAAGUAGGGAAGCGUUACCUACUGAAUAAGCACCGGCUAACUUCGUGCCAGCAGCCGCGGUAAUUC
rnacentral:rRNA from 1 species